AUUUGAUGUGCAUGAGUUGGUUAUUAUGACCAACAUAACAUUCAAGUAUGUUUGACCAGGCCCGUGUGAGCACAAAAAAGGGCUAAACCAACGUAGUGAUGGACAGUGAAAUAAGACAGAUUAUUAACAGGCAGUACCAUAAAUACUAACCAGAUGUAUAGGCCCAAGUUUGGGUCUGACAUAAAUUUAGACAGUCAGAAGCAACACUUA